GCAGUCCAUUCUAAGAUGGUUUUGGAAAUAGAGAUACAGAUGAAGUUAGCUACCUUAAGGUCGGAAUUCCACUAGGAAAAAGUUACUAUGCCUGAAAAUGAGCAAAGUCGGAACUGAAAGAGCUUCUUCAGAGCUUUGGAAGGUUGCGGGUUUAGCUGUUGUUUGUGUUAUAUGUUUCACCUCUAAUGCUUUUGCAAGCAGCAAGAGCAACUGAUUAUAGUAUUGGGAGUAAGUUGCUGAUACCUAAACCCCUCCUCUCACUUUUUGGAAACUUGACAGAACGAACAGGGUAGAGUGAUUUCUUUGGAGCAAUUCUUGACAACAUUUGUAGUUGAGGCCUUUAAAAUGGAAGAAUGUAUUUCACUAAUUUUUGUAUACAUUUCUUGUUUUGUAUUUAGUGAUAAAGGAAUCUGAAUUGGGCAUAAAUUAUGUUGUAAUAUGAUUUCUUAAGCCUAGACUAGUAGACUAAAUAUUGUAAUUACAUUUGAGUAAUUAAUAAAAAUCUAUUUAUGUUA